rnacentral:rRNA from 1 species
AAUCAACGCUGGCGGCGUGCCUCAGACAUGCAAGUCGAACGAUUAAAGCUCUCUUCGGAGAGUGUAUAGAGUGGCGCACGGGUGAGUAACACGUAAGUAAUCUGCCUUUGAGUGGGGAAUAACCCGGGGAAACCCGAGCUAAUACCGCAUAAUGCAGCGGCACCGCAAGGUGACAGUUGUUAAAGCGAGUAAUCGCGCUUAAAGAGGAGCUUGCGGCAGAUUAGCUAGUUGGUAAGGUAACGGCUUACCAAGGCUACGAUCUGUAUCCGGUCUAAGAGGACGGUCGGACACACUGACACUGAAUAACGGGUCAGACUCCUACGGGAGGCAGCAGUCGGGAAUUUUGGGCAAUGGGCGAAAGCCUGACCCAGCAACGCCGCGUGAAGGAUGAAGUAUUUCGGUAUGUAAACUUCGAAAGAAUAGGAAGAAUAAAUGACGGUACUAUUUAUAAGGUCCGGCUAACUACGUGCCAGCAGCCG